UGAGGAACAUGACCUUCGGCGGGGGAUAGCCGGCCCAACGGCCGGGUAAUACCGCGUACGACCACAUGGGGACAUCCCCGAGUGGUGAAAGCAGCAAUGCGCCGAUGGAGUGCCUCGCGGCCUAUCAGCUAGUUGGUGAGGUAACGCUCACCAAGGCGACGACGGGUAGCUGGUCUGAGAGGAUGGCCAGCCACAUUGGGACUGAGACACGGCCCAGACCUCCGUAGGGAGG
rnacentral:rRNA from 1 species